GGUUGUAGGAGAUAUCAGUUACCUGCCCAGGAGAUAUCAGUCACCUCCCCAGGAGAUAUCAGUCAGCUGCCCCUGGUGUUAUAGGGACAGGAGCUCCACGGCAUCCAUUGGUCUACACCGCACCAUGUGCCACGUCAACUCAUAUUAAUUUCACCUCAACUCCUUAAUCACUUUUUUUAGACUUGAACGCAGGGUUACAGUUGUGACCUUCGAAGAAUAUUUACGAUAAUUCAAUUCAAUUUUAUUUAUAUAGCGCCAUAACAAUACAAUUGUCUCUAGGCGCUUUACAGAGCGAUAAGUAUUUUCAAAAGUAAAUUGAACAAAACCAUUAAUUAGUAAACAAAUUCAUUGAUUGAUGGUCAUGGUACCUAAUGACCCCCUACAGUCGACUGGUUAAGGUCAGUGGCCAUGGAGGUUUUCUGGCGUUAGAUGGCACUAAUAGUGUGUUACUGCGAUGGUGGAUUCUGGGAGGUGUAGUCCAAUAGAGUGUUACUGCCAUGGUGGAUUCUGGGAGGUGUAGUCCACAGAGUGUUACUGCGAUGGUGGAUUCUGGGAGGUGUAGUCCACAGAGUGUUACUGCGAUGGUGGAUUCUGGGAGGUGUAGUCCACAGAGUGUUACUGCGAUGGUGGAUUCUGACGUUAGAUGGCACUAAUAGGUAACACUAAAAAGUUACUGCUAUGGUGGUUCUGCUUGCUGAUUGGUUGAGGCUGUGCAUGUAUCUUUUCUUUUCUUCUGCCGUUUUCACUCCGCUCCACCCACUCAGAUCCAGCCCCGCCCACUAUGAUCCAGCCCCGCCCACCAUAUCUGGCUCCACCCACACAACCCCGCCCAUCCAUAUCUUGCUCCACCCACUCGGCUCCAGCUCCGCCCCCCAGCUCUAGCUCCACCCACUCGGCUAUGGGCCUGCAGAUUCCCCACAUUUUCUGCUGUUUUUGUAAAGAAUAUUUUCCUCUUUUUUUUUAAUCAAAUAAAGGAAAUGUGAACCCA